AGUGAACGCUGGCGGUAGGCCUAACACAUGCAAGUCGAACGGCAGCACAGUAAGAGCUUGCUCUUACGGGUGGCGAGUGGCGGACGGGUGAGGAAUACAUCGGAAUCUACUUUUUCGUGGGGGAUAACGUAGGGAAACUUACGCUAAUACCGCAUACGACCUACGGGUGAAAGCAGGGGAUCUUCGGACCUUGCGCGAUUGAAUGAGCCGAUGUCGGAUUAGCUAGUUGGCGGGGUAAAGGCCCACCAAGGCGACGAUCCGUAGCUGGUCUGAGAGGAUGAUCAGCCACACUGGAACUGAGACACGGUCCAGACUCCUACGGGAGGCAGCAGUGGGGAAUAUUGGACAAAGGGCGCAAGCCUGAUCCAGCCAUACCGCGUGGGUGAAGAAGGCCUUGGGGUUGUAAAGCCCUUUUGUUGGGAAAGAAAAGCAGCAGGUUAAUACCCCGCUGUUCUGACGGUACCCAAAGAAUAAGCACCGGCUAACUUCGUG
rnacentral:rRNA from 1 species